UGGACGGAAGACAAAUUUCUCAUAUGGACCAGAUUGCUGCAAGAAAUACAGCAAGAAAUGUUGAUCCUUGAGGCCCAUGAAUGUACCCAGCAAGAACUUUGGUAGUCUUAAUGGUUUCUGGAUCUCGGCUCUGUAAAUGAUAGGAGUUUGUUGAUAACAACAGAUUCAGAAGUCAGAGCUUCAGUGAACUCAUAUAUUAAAUAAUAUCUUGAGAUGAACUUGUGGAUAAAUCCAGGAACUUGCAUACUUAAAGGACGCUGAGGUGGAAUUCAGAUAUCUCAGAAUGUAAGUGAAGACAGUUCCGCUCAGAAGAGCUCUCUGUGACACCUAAUCCUGAAGAGGCAAGAAGCUGUUCCAGUGCGAGAUGAGCUGUUCUUACUGGAAAAAUUCAAGUACAGCAAGUAGCUUCUGGAGCAUAAUUUAA
rnacentral:lncRNA from 1 species